CAUUCAGAGCAUUUCCAUAGAGUCACUUUGCAUCAGCAGCUCCAUGCUCCAGUGCUCUGGGAGAGUUUAUAGUCCUGACAGUUGAACACUGGAUGACUGACAGCUGUCCUUCAUCACAACUGAAGACACAGAAAUCCUCCUCAUCAAAAACAUGACUUUGAUCUGCAUCCUCAUCUGGACUCUCCUCUGCUGCUGCUUCACAGAGGUCAGAGGUCAGGCCACAGUGACUCAACAGCCUGCAGCAAUGAGAGUUGAUUUGGGAGGAUCUAUCACCAUCAGAUGUAAAACUAGUCAGAAUAUUUAUAGCAACAAUUUCUCCUGGUACGAACAGAAUAUGGACAAACUCCUAAGCUCCUCAUUUAUUAUAUCAGCUCUCAAGCAUCAGGGACUCCAGGUCGUUUUACAGGCAGUGGAUCAAACUCUGACUUCACUCUGACCAUCAGUGAAGUUGAGGCUGAAGAUGCUGCAGUUUAUUACUGUAUGGGUGAAUUCUACAUCAACAGCAAGUUUUCAUUCACACAGUGAAAAACAGUCGUACAAAAACCUCCAACAUUCAGACCCAACAGAAACUGAACUGUGUUGCAUCUGGAAGUUCCAGUUGGUUAACCAAACACAGA